UACGUAGGGGGCUAGCGUUGUCCGGAAUCAUUGGGCGUAAAGCGCGUGUAGGCGGCCCGGUAAGUCCGCUGUGAAAGUCGGGGGCUCAACCCUCGAAUGCCGGUGGAUACUGUCGGGCUCGAGUACGGAAGAGGCGAGUGGAAUUCCUGGUGUAGCGGUGAAAUGCGCAGAUAUCAGGAGGAACACCCGAUUGCGAAGGCAGCUCGCUGGGACGUUACUGACGCUGAGACGCGAAAGCGUGGGGAGCAAACAGG
rnacentral:rRNA from 1 species